UACGUAGGGUGCAAGCGUGUCCGGAAUUAUUGGGCGUAAAGAGCUCGUAGGCGGUCUGUCACGUCGGCUGUGAAAUCCCGAGGCUCAACCUCGGGUCUGCAGUCGAUACGGGCAAACUAGAGUAUUGCAGGGGAGACUGGAAUUCCUGGUGUAGCGGUGAAAUGCGCAGAUAUCAGGAGGAACACCGGUGGCGAAGGCGGGUCUCUGGGCCGAUACUGACGCUGAGGAGCGAAAGCGUGGGGAGCGAACAGG
rnacentral:rRNA from 1 species